rnacentral:rRNA from 1 species
UAAUACGUAGGGGGCGAGCGUUGUCCGGAUUUACUGGGCGUAAAGGGCGCGUAGGCGGUCCGUUAAGCGUGAAGUGAAAUCUCCAGGGCUCAACCCGGAAAUUGCUUUGCGAACUGGCGGACUGGAGGAAGGCAGAGGUGAGUGGAAUUCCCGGUGUAGCGGUGACAUGCAUUGAUAUCGGGAGGAACACCCAUGGCGAAGGCAGCUCACUGGGCCUUUCCUGACGCUGAGGCGCGAAAGCGUGGGUAGCAAACAGAAUUAGAUACUCUGGUAGUCCACGCCCUAAACGAUGGAUGCUAGGCGUGAGGGGUAUCGACCCCCCUUGUGCCGGAGCUAACGCAUUAAGCAUCCCGCCUGGGGAGUACGGCCGCAAGGUUGAAACUCAAAUGAAUUGACGG